rnacentral:rRNA from 1 species
AUGUCGUCCUCGUCGGACAACCCCAACACGGUCACCGACCGCGGCCUCUUCAGCAAGAGCAGCAAGGACGACGGCGCCGACAAGAAGAAGAAGCAGGAGGAGAAGAAAGAGGAUGGGGAGGAGGGCGGCGGCGGGUUCAUCGACAAGGUCAAGGACUUCAUCCACGACAUCGGGGAGAAGAUCGAGGAGGCGGUGGGGUUCGGCAAGCCCAGCGCCGACGUGGCCCGGAUCCACGUGCCCCACAUCGGCCUCCACCGCGCCGACCUCGUCGUCGACGUGCUCAUCAAGAACCCCAACCCGGUGCCCAUCCCGCUCGUCGACAUCGACUACCUCAUCGACAGCGACGGCCGGAAGCUCGUCGCGGGGCUCAUCCCGGACGCCGGCACCAUCCGCGCGCACGGCGAGGAGACGGUCAAGGUGCCCAUCACGCUCGACUUCGACGACAUCCGGAGCACCUACGCGGACAUCAAGCCGGGCAGCAUCAUCCCCUACCUGCUCCGGGUCAUCUUCCUCGUGGACGUGCCCGUCUUCGGCCGCAUCAAGAUCCCGCUGGACAAGUCCGGGGAGAUCCCCAUCCCGUACAAGCCCGACGUGGACGUGGACAAGAUCAAGUUCCACCACUUCUCCUUCGAGGAGACCACGGCCACCAUCCACCUGAGCCUGGAGAACAAGAACGACUUCGACCUCGGGCUCAACCUGCUCCAGUACGAGAUGUGGCUCGGCGACGACAGCGUGGUGGAGGCGGAGCUCACCGACUCCACCAGGAUCGAGAAGCAGGGGAUCACCAAGAUGCAGAUCCCCUUCACCUUCAGGCCCAAGGACCUGGGAUCUGCCGUCUGGGACAUGAUCAGGGGCAGGGGCACCGGCUACAGCAUCAAGGGCAAGAUCGAUGUCGACACCCCCUUUGGCAACAUGAAGCUGCCCAUCGACAAAGUCGGCGGAACCACUCGCCUCAAGAAGGACGACGACGAUGACGAUGUACGAGUGAAGUGCUGUUACUGA